AUAAGUCAUUUUUUCACUUUCAUCUAAGGAGGGAAAAUGACUUCUUGCUUUACGACUAUAUUAACUAUAACAUAACUUCAUAUUACGUGCUCCAACUAAUAUUCAUAUGAAUCUUUAGGAAAAAUAGUUUUCAUAGAAAAUGACUUCAGUCAUACCAAACAUGCUCUACGUAGUUUUCUAUUUUUCCUUAUGUAGAGUUGAGAGGGUGACUGAAGGAGAGGUUACACGAAGCACAUUUCUGACAAUGCAAGUAACAAUACCUCCCGC
rnacentral:lncRNA from 1 species